rnacentral:rRNA from 1 species
GGGAUAGAAUUCCAGGAGUAGCGGUGAAAUGCGUAGAUAUCUGGAGGAAUACCAAAGGCGAAGGCAGUCCCCUGGUCCGAUACUGACACUGAGGUACGAAAGCGUGGGGAGCAAACAGGAUUAGAUACCCUGGUAGUCCACGCCCUAAACGAUGUCGAUUAGCCAUUGGAAGGACCCCUUUUCCUUUCAGUGACGUAGCUAACGCGUUAAAUCGACCGCCUGGGAAGUACGACCGCAAGGUUAAAACUCAAAGGAAUUGACGGGGACCUGAACAAGUGGUGAAUGAUGUGGAUUAAUUCGAUGCUACGCGAAGAACCUUACCUACCUUUGACAUGGCCAAAGUUCUACCGAGAGGCGGAAGUACUCGUAAGAGGAUUGGCGCACAGGUGCUGCAUGGUUGUCGUCAGUUCGUGUCGUGAGAUGUUGGGUUCAGUCCCGCAACGAACGCAACCCUUAUCUUUAAUUGCUCCUAUUUUAACAGGCACUUUAAAGAAACUGCCAAUGAUAAGUUGGAGGAAGGUGGGGAUCACGUCAAGUCCGCAUGGCCUUUAUAGGUAGGGCUUCACACGUCAUACAAUGGUUAGAACAAAGAGCUGCAAAUUCGUAAGAAGGAGCCAAUCUCACAAACCUAACCUCAGUUCGAAUUGCGGUCUGCAACUCGAGCGCAUGAAGCCGGAAUCGCUAGUAAUCGUGGAUCAGAAUGCCACGGUGAAUACGUUCUUAGGUCUU